AGUGCUGCGGCGAGUGCGGGGCGAGAGGUUCGCGCUGGUGGAGCACCCCAGCUUGCAGGUUCAGCGUGGGUGUCUCUCCCGGGCACAUCGAGCUGUCUAGAGGAACCCUCUUCCCCUGGCUUCACGGCCCAGAGGACGCACGGCUCUCUCCCCUCGAGAGCGUGUUUCGUCGCCCGCGCGGGGAACGCAAAGUGCUAGGGUAGUCACGGCCACUUCACGCCGAGGGACAUCUCAUCUCGCCCUCCAGGUCGUGAGCGCACCCAUUCCGCUCACUGAGGCCGAAAGCUUCGGACCUCCGUGGGCCCUGAGACUUCAGCGUUCCAUGUCUGCUGUGCUGUGGAACCCAGAGUGCUCUUGCCUGGAUGGCUGAGAAUCCCUUGGACCCUGGAAGCACCUACUCCAUGAUGGCCCGCAGGAGGACCAAACUGGAGACAGUCCUGGCUCUGAGGAAACAGGAAGGAAGGAGGGUGAAAGGAACGUCCACCUGCACACAAAGGAAAGAUGAAAAAGAGUCACCUACCAUGGGACCUGGCAAAGUACUUCAGAACUUUUAUUCCUUCCAGAAGCAGGUGACAGGGCCCAGUCACCAACCAAGCUGGAGCUGAGGCUCGGCAGUGAUGAUCAUCCUGGAUCUCUGGGCUUCAGGCAGCCAAGGAGACCAUGCUCCACUGAUGUCAACACACCCUGAGCUUCAGUGCCACAUUUCCUGGUUUUCCUUACACAUGGCUGCUUACCCUGCUUCUCUGCCUCCUUCACAGGCUCCCCUCCCUCCUCUGUCCACCUAGCCCCAGCGU
ensembl:lncRNA KDM4A-AS1 KDM4A antisense RNA 1